rnacentral:rRNA from 1 species
AUUGAACGCUGGCGGCAGGCCUAACACAUGCAAGUCGAACGGUAGCACAGAGAGCUUGCUCUCGGGUGACGAGUGGCGGACGGGUGAGUAAUGUCUGGGAAACUGCCCGAUGGAGGGGGAUAACUACUGGAAACGGUAGCUAAUACCGCAUAACGUCGCAAGACCAAAGUGGGGGACCUUCGGGCCUCCCACCAUCGGAUGUGCCCAGAUGGGAUUAGCUAGUAGGUGGGGUAAUGGCUCACCUAGGCGAAGAUCCAUAUCUGGACUGCGAGGAUGACCAGCCACACUGGAACUGAGACACGGACCAGACUCCUACGGGAGGCAGCAGUGGGGAAUAUUGCACAAGGGGCGCAAGCCUGAUGCAGCCAUGCCGCGUGUAUGAAGAAGGCCUUCGGGUUGUAAAGUACUUUCAGCGGGGAGGAAGGCGGUGAAGUUAAUAACUUCACCGAUUGACGUUACCCGCAGAAGAAGCACCGGCUAACUCCGUGCCAGCCGCCGCAGUAA